GAACAAUGCAUGAUUGAAGUAAAGAGGAAAAUCUAUUCUCUCCAGUCGGUUGAUGAACUUAACAUCCAAAUUGAGCAAAUUCAUGCGUUGUUGCUAAAACUAUCAACGGAGAUGAAACAGAACGGGAUGUAUGUCCCAGAUACCAGAAUUGUGCUGUAUGAUCUUGAAGAAGAGGAGAAAGAACGUAUUUUGUUAGGUCACAGCGAGAAAUCAGCAGUCGCUUUUGGUUUGAUUAAUAGCAGCAAAGGAGAUCCUAUACGGAUUAGUAAGAACUUGAGGUUAUGUGAGGACUGCCACUCAUUCACCAAGCUCAUUUCGAAAUAUACAAACAGAGAAAUUCUAGUCAGAGACAUCAAUCGAUUUCAUCAUUUCGCCAAUGGGGUUUGUUCCUGUGGAGAUUAUUGGUAGACUUGUUCAUUCUCUUUCCUCUAACAAAGCCAACUUUCA
rnacentral:misc_RNA from 1 species